AGUGAACGCUGGCGGUAGGCCUAACACAUGCAAGUCGAACGGCAGCACAGUAAGAGCUUGCUCUUACGGGUGGCGAGUGGCGGAUGGGUGAGGAAUACAUCGGAAUCUACUUUUUCGUGGGGGAUAACGUAGGGAAACUUACGCUAAUACCGCAUACGACCUACGGGUGAAAGCAGGGGAUCUUCGGACCUUGCGCGAUUCAAUGAGCCGAUGUCGGAUUAGCUAGUUGGCGGGGUAAAGGCCCACCAAGGCGACGAUCCGUAGCUGGUCUGAGAGGAUGAUCAGCCACACUGGAACUGAGACACGGUCCAGACUCCUAAGGGAGGCAGCAGUGGGGAAUAUUGGACAAUGGGGGAAAGCCUGAUCCAGCCAUACCGCGUGGGUGAAGAAGGCCUUAGGGUUGUAAAGCCCUUUUGUUGGGAAAGAAAAGCAGCAGGUUAAUACCCCGCUGUUCUGACGGUACCAAAAGAAUAAGCACCGGCUAACUUCGUG
rnacentral:rRNA from 1 species